CCGGAGUUCGGUGGCCAGCUGCCGGGGCAGGCGAGCGGACGCCGCGCGAGGCAGGACCGCGUGGGCGCCGCGUGAGGCAGGCGAGCGGGCGGGGGCCGCGCCGCUGCCCUGAGUCCGGUCGACAAGCUCGGCGGCCCGGACAGUGAGUGCUCUGCUUUUCUUUCCGUCCUGCUUCAGUUCCUCAGAUAAGUUUACUGAUGAAGCCUGCUAGACGUGAAGGCGACGGCUUCAACCAUCCAAUGCAAUCUGUUAGUAUGAUUCUGCUUUUACAGAACAUGUAGGCAUGCAUUGUUCUGGCCGAAUUCUGCUCGGCUUGGCUGCUGACCGGAACAGAAGCGACGCCCAGUCGGUGCUCAGAUUGAUGGGCAUGAAAGGCCUCACUCUGAAAAGCCACCUUCAGAAAUAUAGACUGGGAAGACAGGAAAAGAAAAGCACAGGGCCGGAACUUGCCAACGGUAGUGAUCACCACGCGGCUCGACGGCCUGCACUGCACUUGCUCGACGGGCACCGGCGGCGCAUUCCAGUGCCGGCGGCCCCCCUCUCAGCAGCCUCCUCUAGGUGACACCAGCCCGCCGCCACCCGCGCGAGCCGCCGCGAGGGCAGGCCCGGUGGCCGGCCGCUCCUCUGCUCACGGCG